rnacentral:rRNA from 1 species
AGCUCCAGUAGCGUAUAUUAACGUUGUUGCAGUUAAAAAGCUCGUAGUUGGAUUUCUGGUUUACGCGUGUGGCCCGCUACCUUUAGGUAUGUGAGUGCCAACGCGCGUCUACCAUCCUUCUAGAAAACGGUUCUGCCCUUCAUUGGGAGGGAACCGCGAUCUAGAUCUUUUACUUUGAAAAAAUUAGAGUGUUCAAAGCAGGCUCGCGCUAUGAAUACAUUAGCAUGGAAUAAUAAUAUAGGACUUUGGUUCUAUUUUGUUGGUUUCUAGGACUAAAGUAAUGAUUGAUAGGGAUAGUUGGGGGUGCUAGUAUUCAGUGGCCAGAGGUGAAAUUCUCGGAUUCACUGAAGACUAACUUAUGCGAAAGCAUUCACCAAGGAUGUCUUCUUUA